GGUCGGACGGUAUAUUUGAUCGAUAAAUCCGCGGUCACACUGAUCUCAAUUGCGGAACAUAAGGCCGUUUUGAAGCCCAACUGUGGCCCACAACUCCGCCCUGCCUCAGCCAGACCACCAGAUCGGCCAGGUGGAUCUUAGCCGACCAGAUCUUAGCCCGAAUCUGAAGAAAACCAAGCUGGAUGAGGCCUCGACGGCGGGGUUGAUGCAAGCACAUAAACGGAUCAGGGCGUGGUGUCUAUGAUGAGCUUCCAUCUGCGUCGCAAAAAGGGACUGGAACAAACCCUGGCGGCCAAGCUUACACCAAAGGCGUACGUCAAGGAGACUCAUGCCGUGCCCGGGCUGCCGGAGCUGCUGGAUCCUGCAUUCCCAACAAGACACGUCUGGACAGAUUAUGCGCCACUACGGCAGUGCAAGGGCAUCCGCCAGUUGCAGGCUUUGUACGUGUCCCACCUGCACGCGGAUCAUCACAUUGGAUUGAUUGGACUGCUGAAGGAGCGCAGAUAGCUGGCCCCGAAGGAAACUCGCUGCUCUUACUUGCGCCGCGGCAGAUCGAGCCAUGGAUGGAGUUCUAACAAGGAUAGCUCUUGGCGAGACUCCUGACUGGAGAGGCAGUGGCACCAUUGGGCAUAACUGCCGCCACUGCCAAGUCACCAGUAGGAACUGCCAAGCCGCCAGUGCGAACAGCUGCUUAAAAUCUUGCGAGACGCUUGGCGAUGCUGUGGAUGAUCGAGUUCAGCCCAACAAUCAACCUUUGCGGAAUGAGAGGAGCAGCAGCAAGGCAAGAAGGAUGCCGAUCAGGAUUUUUACUAAAACCAGGAGAGUUCGGCUAACUCGUCGCAGUCCUCGGUGGGCAUUGAUGACUAUUGGGAUGAAGCUCUGGUUGGCGACUAUGGAAGCACUCAGAAUGAUGACAGCGAUGACUUGGACGGGCACAACAACUAGCCACCUAUCGAUGGGCAGCAAGGAAAAGAACCCGGCCGCAACGAGUUGCGUUACUAUUGGCGAUCAUGAGGUCAUGGACUGCAAAGAACAAUUCGACAAGCAGCAACAUUACUUGGGCCGAGCAGGGCAGUAAAUGUAAAAGUUGUACAGCACUAUCUUUAAAGCGUGCUCCGGCGGUCUUAAGCCUUCUGCACCAUGUUUUACAUCAUCGGUUUCGACCGGGAGCGCAGACAGCUGGCCCCGAAGGAAACUCGCUGCUCUUACUUGCGCCGCGGCAGAUCGAGCCAUGGAUGGAGUUCUAACACGGAUAGCUCUUGGCGAGACUCCUGACUGCAGAGGCAGUGGCACCAUUGGGCGUAACUGCCGCCACUGCCAAGUCACCAGUAGGAACUGCGAAGCCGCCAGUACGAACAGCUGCUUAAAAUCUUGCGAGACGCUUGGCGAUGCUGUGGAUGAUCAAGUUCAGCCCAACAAUCAACAGUUGCGGAAUGAGAGGAGCAGCAACAGGACAAGAAGGAUGCCGAUCAGGAUUUCUACUAAAACCAGGACAGUUCGGCUAACUCGUCGCAGUCCUCGGUGGGCAUUGAUGACUAUUGGGAUGAAGCUCUGGUCGGCGACUAUGGAAGCACUCAGAAUGAUGACAGCGAUGACUUGGACGGGCACAACAACUAGCCACCUAUCGAUGGGCAGCAAGGAGAAGAACCCGGCCGCAACGAGUUGCGUUACUAUUGGCGAUCAUGAGGUCAUGGACUGCAAAGAACAAUUCGACAAGCAGCAACAUUACUUGGGCCGAGCAGGGCAGUAAAUGUGAAAGUUGUACAGCACUAUCUUAAAAGCGUGCUCCGGCGGUCUUAAGCCUUCUGCACCAUGUUUUACAUCAUCGGUUUCGACCGGAUCCAGUGGCCUAAAAAGUGCUAUAGAGCGAUCCUCUCUUACCCCACCAGGAGGUCACCCCCUCCGGUGGCCAUGAAUACCUUUUGCAUGACCGCGAAUACCGAAUUACCCACCAUCGUUUAACUGGGGCUUCACACUUCAGGUCCUCCGGUUUAGCUGAACGAGUGGGCGCUCGAUGGCGGCUGUCCACUCCAGGCGCCUACCGGCUGACAUCGCGAGCUCCCCACCGGCUCUUGGGACAUGACUUACAUCGCGCGAGCUGUGGCCUCUAGCCUGGACGACCUUUGGGUCCUCUCGGGAUGUGUAAGGGAUGUGCUCCUGGCUGGACUGUGGCAGGCACUGUCUGUCCUCCUGCGGGCCAAAGCCAUGAUGCCACUACUGUGUCGCUGAAUCGACAAUGUGGCGUCCCGUCCGCUGCAGCAGGGACCACUGAUCGACUUCAGAAUUGUGGGUUCACGCCCACGGUAAUCAAACGCUGGUCUUCAGCCUCGAGGCGCAGGGCUUAUGUACCAUAUCCAAGCAUUGCCGAAUCGUAUCCCAGCAGGACAAAAGCGCACCCCUUGGAAGAGCCCAAAUCUAACAAGCCGACGUCACAUUUCGACCUGGCCAUUGAAAACUAUCUCAAGGACUUUGGCUAUGGCAACCAAGGGAGGGAUACGCGGACUACCAGACUAUAGAUAGAUCUCGUUGUUAAUAGGUUUAAGGAUACACACGUCUGUACAUUUAGAUAGUAGAUAUAAAUAUUUCCAAAUUGUUAAUUUCUUUAUAGUAAGUUAACGUUAUUAUGAAUAAAACUAUUGAAAAAUUA
rnacentral:sRNA from 1 species